rnacentral:rRNA from 1 species
UACGUAGGGUGCAAGCGUUGUCCGGAAUUAUUGGGCGUAAAGAGCUCGUAGGCGGUCUGUCGCGUCGGCUGUGAAAUCCCGAGGCUCAACCUCGGGUCUGCAGUCGAUACGGGCAAACUGGAGUGUUGCAGGGGAGACUGGAAUUCCUGGUGUAGCGGUGAAAUGCGCAGAUAUCAGGAGGAACACCGGUGGCGAAGGCGGGAUCCUGGGCCAGUACUGACGCUGAGGAGCGAAAGCGUGGGGAGCAAACAGG